CCUACGGGAGGCUGCAGUCGAGAAUCAUUCACAAUGGGGGAAACCCUGAUGGUGCGACGCCGCGUGGGGGAAUGAAGGUCUUCGGAUUGUAAACCCCUGUCAUGUGGGAGCAAAUUAAAAAUAUAGUACCACAAGAGGAAGAGACGGCUAACUCUGUGCCAGCAGCCGCGGUAAUACAGAGGUCUCAAGCGUUGUUCGGAAUCACUGGGCGUAAGGCGUGCGUAGGCUGUUUCGUAAGUCGGGUGUGAAAGGCGCGGGCUCAACCCGCGGACGGCACAUGAUACUGCGAGACUAGAGUAAUGGAGGGGGAACCGGAAUUCUCGGUGUAGCAGUGAAAUGCGUAGAUAUCGAGAGGAACACUCGUGGCGAAGGCGGGUUCCUGGACAUUAACUGACGCUGAGGCACGAAGGCCAGGGGAGCGAAAGGGAUUAGAUACCCGAGUAGUC
rnacentral:rRNA from 1 species